GGUUAAGCGACUAAGCGUACACGGUGGAUGCCCUGGCAGUCAGAGGCGAUGAAGGACGUGCUAAUCUGCGAUAAGCGUCGGUGAGGUGAUAUGAACCGUUAUAACCGGCGAUUUCCGAAUGGGGAAACCCAGUGUGUUUCGACACACUAUCAUUAACUGAAUCCAUAGGUUAAUGAGGCGAACCGGGGGAACUGAAACAUCUAAGUACCCCGAGGAAAAGAAAUCAACCGAGAUUCCCCCAGUAGCGGCGAGCGAACGGGGAGGAGCCCAGAGCCUGAAUCAGUGUGUGUGUUAGUGGAAGCGUCUGGAAAGGCGUGCGAUACAGGGUGACAGCCCCGUACACAAAAAUGCACAUAUUGUGAGCUCGAUGAGUAGGGCGGGACACGUGGUAUCCUGUCUGAAUAUGGGGGGACCAUCCUCCAAGGCUAAAUACUCCUGACUGACCGAUAGUGAACCAGUACCGUGAGGGAAAGGCGAAAAGAACCCCGGCGAGGGGAGUGAAAAAGAACCUGAAACCGUGUACGUACAAGCAGUGGGAGCCUCUUAAUGGGGUGACUGCGUACCUUUUGUAUAAUGGGUCAGCGACUUAUAUUCUGUAGCAAGGUUAACCGAAUAGGGGAGCCGAAGGGAAACCGAGUCUUAACUGGGCGUUAAGUUGCAGGGUAUAGACCCGAAACCCGGUGAUCUAGCCAUGGGCAGGUUGAAGGUUGGGUAACACUAACUGGAGGACCGAACCGACUAAUGUUGAAAAAUUAGCGGAUGACUUGUGGCUGGGGGUGAAAGGCCAAUCAAACCGGGAGAUAGCUGGUUCUCCCCGAAAGCUAUUUAGGUAGCGCCUCGUGAAUUCAUCUCCGGGGGUAGAGCACUGUUUCGGCAAGGGGGUCAUCCCGACUUACCAACCCGAUGCAAACUGCGAAUACCGGAGAAUGUUAUCACGGGAGACACACGGCGGGUGCUAACGUCCGUCGUGAAGAGGGAAACAACCCAGACCGCCAGCUAAGGUCCCAAAGUCAUGGUUAAGUGGGAAACGAUGUGGGAAGGCCCAGACAGCCAGGAUGUUGGCUUAGAAGCAGCCAUCAUUUAAAGAAAGCGUAAUAGCUCACUGGUCGAGUCGGCCUGCGCGGAAGAUGUAACGGGGCUAAACCAUGCACCGAAGCUGCGGCAGCGACACUAUGUGUUGUUGGGUAGGGGAGCGUUCUGUAAGCCUGUGAAGGUGGCCUGUGAGGGUUGCUGGAGGUAUCAGAAGUGCGAAUGCUGACAUAAGUAACGAUAAAGCGGGUGAAAAGCCCGCUCGCCGGAAGACCAAGGGUUCCUGUCCAACGUUAAUCGGGGCAGGGUGAGUCGACCCCUAAGGCGAGGCCGAAAGGCGUAGUCGAUGGGAAACAGGUUAAUAUUCCUGUACUUGGUGUUACUGCGAAGGGGGGACGGAGAAGGCUAUGUUGGCCGGGCGACGGUUGUCCCGGUUUAAGCGUGUAGGCUGGUUUUCCAGGCAAAUCCGGAAAACCAAGGCUGAGGCGUGAUGACGAGGCACUACGGUGCUGAAGCGACAAAUGCCCUGCUUCCAGGAAAAGCCUCUAAGCAUCAGGUAACAUCAAAUCGUACCC
rnacentral:rRNA from 1 species